UGCUCCCACAAUAACCACAGUUGCUCCUACAACAACAACAGCUGCUCCCACAACAACCACAACACCGGCCCCUCCACCACCAGAGGUGAAGUUGGAGUUCAAAUUGGAGAAAAACUUCACAGCAGACUUGAAUAAUGCGUCUUCAGUAGAGUUCCAAGCAUUAGCAACAACUGUGGCUACAGCGCUGGACAAUGUGUAUAAAAAUAAAUAUGGAUCCAGUUUCAAUCGCACAGAGGUUCUAGGUUUCAGUCAAGGUUCAGUUGUGGUAAUCACUAAGCUGGUAUUUAACAAUAUCAGUUCAGUCCCUGAGACCAGUGAUGUGGCUGCCACGAUGUUAGAGGCAAUUUCAAGCAACAGCUCUAAUUUCUCUCUUCCAGUGAACGCAACCUCUGUUGUGGCGACAAAGGUGAUCGUACAAACUCAACCCCCAGAAGCCACAAAAACCACAGCUGCUCCCUCAACAACCGCAGCUGAUUACACAACAACCACAGCUACUCCAACAACAGCCACAGCUGCUACCACAACAACCACAGCCGCUCCCACAACAACACCAGCCAUUCCAACAACAACCAC